GAAUCGUCACCAUACAACCAGGAAGCAGAAUGUCUACGGUCCACAUACCAUUCCUUCCACAUCGAUGAGAAUCACCAGCCGUCCAAAUACUCCAGUUCCCGUUCAUCAAAACGGCGAACCACCAGGAAGAUGAACCCCGGAAUUCGAAAGUGCCGUCCUCCUCCCUCCGGCAUCCCGUUGCGCACCUCAUCCGACUUCUCAAACGAAGAAAAUAAUAAAAAGCAAAAAAAAAGUACAAAAAAGCGCCACCACCACCGUUACCGACGAGCGACAUCCUACGCCUCCCUCCAGAAGCCGGGAUCCAGAUCCACACCACAAGAAACGGACGACGAGGAGCGAAAAGAGAUCAAAUCCAAUCCCAUUCCCUUCGAUUACUUGAUUUCUUGGCGACGACCAAGAAGGUAAGAAAGAAAGAGCUAUGCAAGGGCGGCCGCCGCUGAGCCGGACGGCGAGCUUCCGGGCGGAGAGUCUGGGUCAGAUCGUGCUCCAACUCGUGGGCAACCUCGGCUUCGCCAUCUUCGUCCUCGGCGUCCUCGCAUUCACCAUCAUCGCCGCCACCUACCACCCCGACGACCCCCUCCUCCACGCCUCCUCCAAGCUCACCUCCUUCCUUACAUCCACCUCCUCCGCCACCUUCCGCUCCGAUGACUCCGUCCUCCGCACCGGCGAGGACUUCCUCAACGCCUCCGCUGGCUCCAACGACGACUCCUCCACUGCCAUCCGCCUCUCCGACGUUUCGACCACCGCCGCUGGCGACUGCGACGACAAGGGCGGCCCCAUCGCCUGCAAGGAGCCGGAGGUCUACCACGUCAUGAUGCACGCUGCCAUCGAGACCUUCCGCAACAACCACUUCUACCGCUUCGGCAAGCCCGUCCCCGGCGCCGGCGACGGACGCACCUGCGACAUGGCCUGGCGCUUCCGCCCUAAGGACGCCAAGCGCGCCGCCUUCUACAAGGACUACCGCCGCUUCGAGCUCGCCCGCGGCCCCAACUGCACCUACUCUAUCGUCAAGAUUGGCGACUACCAUUCCGGUGUCAACGCUCGCAAGAAGAAGAACAAGCUCAAGGGCGGCCCCUCCACGGCCACCCUCUCGUCCUCCUCCGCCGACGAAUCCGAUCCCAGGAAGGGCGAGAAGCCCCUGGUUGUUCCGGUCGUCGGCGAGGACGUGAACGACACCCUCCCGGUGGUGGAGUCCGAGGGCAAGUUCAGCGCCGGCAAGUACCUCAUCUAUACUGGCGGCGGCGACCGCUGCAAGCCCAUGAACCACUACCUCUGGAGCUUCCUUUGUGCCCUGGGAGAAGCCCAGUACCUGAACCGAACCCUCGUCAUGGAUCUCAGCAUCUGCCUCAAUUCGAUGUACACUUCCACGAAUCAAGACGAGGAGGGCAAGGAUUUCCGGUUCUACUUCGAUUUCGAGCACUUGAGGGACUCGGCAUCGGUCCUUGACGAGCGCCAGUUCUGGAAAGACUGGGCCUUGUGGCAGAAGAAGGACCGGCUGGGCCUCCACCUGGUGGAGAACUUCAAAAUCACGCCCAUGAAGCUGGCCGAGGUGAAGGACGCCCUCAUCAUGAGGAAGUUCGGUGCUGUCGAGCCUGACAACUACUGGUACAGGGUCUGUGAGGGGGAAACAGAGUCGGUGAUCCAGAGGCCAUGGAACCUCAUUUGGAAAUCUCGCCGCUUGAUGGAUAUUGUCUCCGGUAUUGCCUCAAAGAUGAACUGGGACUUUGAUUCGGUUCAUGUUGUCAGAGGAGAGAAGGCAAGGAACACCGAGCUCUGGCCCAAUUUAGCAAGGGACACAUCCCCUGAGGCUCUCGUGUCGACACUGGGGGAGAAGAUUGAUGAUGGGAGGCACCUUUAUGUUGCUACAAAUGAGCCUGAUACCUCCUUCUUUGAUCCAUUGAAGGAUAAGUAUCCAGUUCAUUUCCUUGACGAUUUCAAGGACUUGUGGGGUGAGAACAGUGAGUGGUAUACAGAGACCCAGAGCCUCAACAAUGGGAUUCCGGUGGAGUUUGAUGGCUACAUGAGGGUGGAGGUGGACACUGAAGUGUUCCUGAGGGGCAAGAAGCAGAUUGAGACAUUCAAUGAUCUCACAAGUGAUUGCAAAGAUGGGAUUAAUACCUGUCGCACAGAUUCCUGAACAAUCGAUGGGUUCACUUGGUAGGUGGGAUGUCAAUUUGGCAAAGAUAUUCAGAGGGAAGGGAAAGAGAUCAGGAGGCUGAUUCUUUGGCCAGCAUUCCUUCUCACAACAAGAUAUUGAGCUAUGCUGAAAUGUUACCAAAAAUAAAAAAGCUAUGCUGAAAGAUCUGAGACUCUGCAACACAGCAGGAUGUUCCAGCAAUCAGAGUUAUCCCAGCAGAACUUGCUCUGUUUGGAUAGCUGGCGUAUCGACUUGGGAAGGUUGUGAGGCAGCUGAGGCUUGUAUAGCCAUGAAAAAUUUGCAAACCUAGUGCUCUUUAUUCUUCACCUCUAAUACUCUUUUGGUUGUCAUAUAUGAUUUUCUUUGCCAAAAUCAACAUGAAUAGAAACUGCCUUGAUAUCUAAAUUGGUUAACUCUAAGAUCAAUGCAUGUAGCUAGCUUUAUUAGAUGUUAUGCCUAGCUUUUGUCACCAUAUAAAGGGCAAAAAUAUAAUUAGACCAAUGUCUUUUAAGUUUGGAUUUUUGCCAGCUUUUAUAAGGAUCGAACUUCAUCGGCAGGGGAUCUGUCUUCAAUAAAUCAGAUUUGAAGAAAGAGGAACUUGAAAACCUAGAACCUUUCUUACUCCUUUGAUAAAUCGUGUGUUAAGGUGUGCUGGCCCUCUUCCUCAUGAAGAAGAAGAUCUUGCAGUGCUAUUUCCAUCGCAACAUGCUCUCCUGUAGCACAUAAAGAUAGACUUGCUGCGCUGAUCUAGGAAAAGAACUUCAAAUGAAAGAACUCUCAUAAAGAAAUGAAGGAAGGUGGAUGGGAGCAUUUUACCCCUUGAUGUCAUGGCUGAUAUUCUUCAACAGCUACCUAUGACGAUGAUCAUAAAGUUCAGUUGAACAUCGCAAUUUACAUCAUGCAUAAACUCAUUGCUGAAGGGCACGCGUUCUUCAAAAGCCAACUGUAGUUUGUGGGCUUACACAGGUCUGGUCCAUCAUGCUUCCGUCUAUAGCAAUUAGCUGGGUCACCUCCCGUCCCUUUCCCAGCACCCUCAGCUUCGGCGGACAGAUAGUAUUCACAUGCAAGCCCCCAUGCUGCAAUGCAACGUGCCCAGUGGCUGGACAGAAACUGGCACAUUGAAGCUGAGAGUGAGAUUCAAUGCAUAUCUAUCCCGGUCAUGGCCAAACCCUUUCAAGAAUACCACCAAAGUGACUGGUGAUAACGGUGGCAGAUCCUUGUAAUAUGGGUUGCCGGUCUUACAGCUCCCUGUUUGGCAUGCCAGCCGCCUUUUGCCAUUGCCAGUGCACUUUGUGCGUGCCCUUAUAAAUCUAGACCACUCAGGCUGGAUAAGCAAGGUUCUCCACAUGCUGCUUUUUAGCUUGCAUCCAGUCAAGUUCUUCAGUAGCCAAGGAUGGUCCGGACUGUCCAGAAUUUUAGCUGUGAGACUAGUAUUUCAAGUUUCUAACCUCCAACGAGGAAAACAAAGAAGAUAGAUGACCAUAUCUUUUGCAUCCAUUAUGCGGAGGCUUCUUGUGAUUCGUAUGCUGAUUGAGAGGGUUUUGUGGGAGUUUGAUCUCUGAAUUGCAAUUUAAAGAAUAGAGAGGGUAGGGUUGUCCAAGGUGGAAAAGGAGAGUAUUCCAGAGGUUACCUUAUUGUGAGUCAGAGUAAGAAUAUUAUUGCUGUCACAUUAAAUAAAGCAAAGCUUUGGGUGGAUCAUUUUUUGGGAUGUAUCCUGUAGCAUAGCUCAUGUCUCAUGCACCUAGACUCCU